rnacentral:rRNA from 1 species
GGUACUGGGUAUAAUACCCGAUAGGUCUCGAUUGCUGGAAUGCAUCGAGAAAUAAAGCUCGGGCGCCUAAGGAUGGGUCUGCGGCCUAUCAGGUAGUAGUGGGUGUAGCGUACCUACUAGCCUACGACGGGUACGGGUUGUGAGAGCAAGAGCCCGGAGAUGGAUUCUGAGACACGAAUCCAGGCCCUACGGGGUGCAGCAGGCGCGAAAACUUUACAAUGCUGGCAACAGCGAUAAGGGAACCUCGAGUGCCAGGUUACAAAUCUGGCUGUAGAGAUGCCUAAAAAGCAUUUCAUAGCAAGGGCCGGGCAAGACCGGUGCCAGCCGCCGCGGUAACACCGGCGGCUCGAGUGGUAACCGUUAUUAUUGGGUCUAAAGGGUCUGUAGCCGGCCGGAUAAGUCUCUUGAGAAAUCUGGCAGCUUAACUGUCAGGCUUUCAGGAGAUACUGUCUGGCUCGAGGCCGGGAGAGGUGAGAGGUACUUCAGAGGUAGGGGUGAAAUCUUGUAAUCCUUGAAGGACCACCAGUGGGGAAGGCGUCUCACCAGAACGGACCUGACGGCAAGGGACGAAAGCUAGGGGCACGAACCGGAUUAGAUACCCGGGUAGUCCUAGCCGUAAACGAUACUCGCUAGGUGUCGGCCACGGUGCGACCGUUGUCGGUGCCGUAGGGAAGCCGUGAAGCGAGCCACCUGGGAGUACGUCGCAAGGCUGAAACUUAAAGAUUGGCGGGGA